CAUAUUGGCGCGGGGGUGCCGUCGCCCACCACAAAACUUCCAUCCUUUUUGGUGCGACAAUCAAAUCUCUGUAAUGGCAAAGACGACUAAAGUGAAGAAGCAGAAGAAAGUAAAGCCCCACCAUUCCUCCCACCUAAAUCCAAACCCACCCGACAAAAUGCUCAAGAAAAAGAAGAAAAAGCUCAUAAACCAGAAGUCGGAAACCAAAUCCAAAUCGAAGGUCAAAUCUCCUUCCUCCUCAUCUUCAGACUCCGAAUCCGAAUCCGAGAAAGUCCAAAAACUCCUGGAACCAUUCUCGAAAGACCAAUUGAUUGAUCUGCUCACCGAUGCUGCGCUUUCUAGCUCGACCUUUUUCGCGAAAAUCUGUGAAUUUGCAGAUAAGGACGUUUCCCAUCGGAAAAUUUUCAUCCACGGUCUAUCCUGGGAUACCACGAACGAAACCCUAAUUUCAGCAUUUCAGAAUUUUGGAGAAAUUGAGAGUUCCAAUGUUGUUCUUGAUAAGGCUACUGGAAAAGCAAAAGGGUAUGCUUUUGUUACGUUUAAAACUCGAAAAUCGGCUUUGAAAGCACUGAAACAGCCCAAAAUGGUGCUCAAUAAUCGACUUGUGGUCUGGCAGUUGGCUUCUUUAGGGCCCCCAUCGACCUCGGGGCAGCUGGAGGGAAAUGGGAAUUUGAGUGGGAGGAAGAUUUACGUGAGUAAUGUGCAGAGUGAUGUGAGCGCUGAGAGAUUGAGGGCAUUUUUUGCCAAGUUUGGGGAGAUCGAAAGUGGCCCAAUGGGAUUUGAUGUGCAAACAGGGAAGUUUAAAGGGUACGCUUUGUUUGUGUACAGGAAUGUGGAAGGGGCGAAAAAUGCGUUAGAGGAACCGUAUAAGGUGUUUGAGGGGCGCGAAUUGCAUUGCCAGAAGGCAGCUGAGGGGAAAAAGAUUCAUGGUGGGGCUGCUGGAAUUACCACUGGUUAUCAGCCUAUUCCACCUAUGUAUGCUGCCAUGGGGCCGCAGAACAUGGCAUUGCUAGGGCAGAGUCCAAAUGUUAAUGUGGAUUUGGGUUUGUUGAGUGCUUAUCCGUUGUAUAAUAGCUUGUUAGCGAACCCAAGUCCAGCUACUUCAGGGUUGAUGAAUGCAAGUCCAAUCGCGGUUUUAGGACAAGGAGGGAUUGGAAUGGGAAUGGGGAUGGGGGUGGGAGGAUAUAAUGGGGUCAUGGGAAAUUAUGGUUUUGAUAGUUUAGGAAGUGGUGGCAGCACCACUACAAAUUUAGGGGCUUAUGGUGGUGCUAGCGCUGGGUCAAGUGGGCCGAUGAUACAGGGUAUGCAUUAUGCAUAUCCUAAUACACCAAUUGGGCAGAAAUCGUCAGCACCUCCAGCAUCAGGGACUUGAGGGAGUCUUUAGUGGUAUUAGUGAUAAAUUACAACUUGCCAUUGACGAGAAAGACGAUGCUCUUGGAGAUGUCUAAGUGGUUUGCAGAAAUGAAAAGAAAAUCAUGCCCUUUACGUUUUGCUACUUUCUGAAACCCAUAAAUUGGAUCACUUGGCAAAACUUCUAAGGGACUUGUUAUUGGUUUUUCGCUACAUGACAAAAAGUUUUGAUACAUCUUUGUGGGAUUUCAUUGAUCUUUUAACUUUUCUCUUGUGAUGAUGUUUUGCGGCAAAAGGAUGUCAAACCAAGUGGAAGUAAUACAUAAAUAAAUGAGUUGGCUAUAUGGAGUGUGUUUUCAGUUGCCUGGCUAUGUCCAAUCUUUGCUGUGUUACCAAUGUUUAUCAGUGGGUGCUUGUUUAUGGAGUCAAAGACCACUAUACAAUGUGUAUAUUAUUUUGUGACUUGGUUGCCUUGUGUAAAGCAGAAUUGUGCAUAUGAAACUCCUGCUGUGCUGGAUUGAAAGAAUGGGUGAAGAAUAUUUUUUCCCACUUUUAGUUAAUCUAAUCAGGGAUCCUUGGCAGACAUAGCUUUUUGGUGGUUUUUUAUUGGUGUUUUUGGUUGUUGGAAAAGGGGGUGGGGGCGCACAUUUACUCUAAGAAGUAGGUGAUUUCCAAUUAAGAUUACAGCAAUGGAUUUGGAUGGGAAGCCUGAAGUUAAUUUUUCUCUAGGCUCCUUUUGUCCUGGUUUAAGAAC